rnacentral:tRNA from 1 species
AUUGCUUUGGCAGAGUAGUGUGUUAAAUUUAGAAUUUACUUAUGUAUGUACAAUACAGGCAAUA